rnacentral:tRNA from 1 species
CCCCUGGUAGUCCACUGGUUAGGACUCAGUGCUUCCACUGCAGAGGGCACAGGUUCGAUCCCUGGUCGGGGAA